GUUCCCUGCUGUGAUGUCGAUGAUCUUCACGGCAUACUCCUGCCUGGUGGCUUUGUGGAUGCACCGGCGGACGACGCUGCUCACCCCCCUGCCAGGAACAGCACAGGAACGAUGAGGAAAUGCGGCUCAGAGAGGUGAGGCUCUGAAGAACAGUUGGGACGCGUGACAGCAGCUCAGCAAGCAGCAAGAAGGCCAGCACAUCCCCAUCCCAGUAGCACGUUAUGGGCAACGAGGCCCGACCCGGAAGGGGCUGCUCAGACACGGCCUUAAUGCUACAGGGAACCGACCCCUUCCACCCAGCAAAGCGCCCACCCCGCUCCAGAGCCCCGAGCAGCGCACGACCCCUCUGCGUCACCCACCCCGACACGGCUGCGAGGCCUCUGCGGCCUACACGGCCCUGGGGUGGGGACCCGAGAAAAGGGCCGGAAGGUAGAAGGCCCAACAGC